ACCAGACUCCUACGGGAGGCAGCAGUGGGGAAUAUUGCACAAUGGGCGCAAGCCUGAUGCAGCGACGCCGCGUGAGCGAAGAAGUAUUUCGGUAUGUAAAGCUCUAUCAGCAGGGAAGAAAAUGACGGUACCUGACUAAGAAGCCCCGGCUAACUACGUGCCAGCAGCCGCGGUAAUACGUAGGGGGCAAGCGUUAUCCGGAUUUACUGGGUGUAAAGGGAGCGUAGACGGCUGUGCAAGCCAGAUGUGAAAGGCCGGGGCUCAACCCCGGGACUGCAUUUGGAACUGUGGGGCUGGAGUGUCGGAGAGGCAGGCGGAAUUCCUAGUGUAGUGGUGAAAUGCGUAGAUAUUAGGAGGAACACCAGUGGCGAAGGCGGCCUGCUGGACGAUGACUGACGUUGAGGCUCGAAAGCGUGGGGAGCAAACAGGAUUAGAUACCCUCGUAUAC
rnacentral:rRNA from 1 species